rnacentral:rRNA from 1 species
UACGGAGGGUGCGAGCGUUGUUCGGAAUCACUGGGCGUAAAGCGCGUGUAGGCGGUCUCCUAAGUCUGAUGUGAAAGCCCGGGGCUCACCCCCGGAAGUGCAUUGGAAACUGGUAGACUGGAGUCCCGGAGAGGAGGGUGGAAUUCCUGGUGUAGCGGUGAAAUGCGUAGAUAUCAGGAGGAACACCGGUGGCGAAGGCGGCCCUCUGGACGGUGACUGACGCUGAGAAGCGAAAGCGUGGGGAGCAAACAGG